rnacentral:rRNA from 1 species
AUACGGAGGAUCCGAGCGUUAUCCGGAUUUAUUGGGUUUAAAGGGUGCGCAGGCGGGAGAUUAAGUCGGCGGUGAAAUUUUGCAGCUCAACUGUAAAAGUGCCUUCGAAACUGGUUUCCUUGAGUGUAGAUGAAGUAGGCGGAAUUUGUGGUGUAGCGGUGAAAUGCAUAGAUAUCACGAGGAACUCCGAUUGCGCAGGCAGCUUACUAAACUACUACUGACGCUCAGGCACGGAGGCGUGGGGAUCAAACAGGAUUAGAUACCCUGGUAGUCCACGCAGUAAACGAUGAUUACUAGCUGUUUGCGAUACAAUGUAAGCGGCUGAGCGAAAGCGUUAAGUAAUCCACCUGGGGAGUACGUUCGCAAGAAUGAAACUCAAAGGAAUUGACGGGG